UCUGGAAACAGAGCCGCAGAGAAUAGGUCCAGGCGACUGUUUAGCAAAAACACAGGUCUAUGCUAAAUCGAAAGAUGAUGUAUAUGGGCUGACGCCUGCCCGGUGCUGGAAGGUUAAGGGGAAGUGUUAGAGCAAUCGAAGCACUGAACUUAAGCCCCAGUAAACGGCGGCCGUAACUAUAACGGUCCUAAGGUAGCGAAAUUCCUUGUCAGGUAAGUUCUGACCCGCACGAAUGGCGUAACGACUUGAGAGCUGUCUCAACAACAUACCCGGCGAAAUUGAAGUACUGGUAAAGAUGCCAGUUACCCGUGAUAAGACGGAAAGACCCCAUGGAGCUUUACUGUAACUUGAUAUUGAAUUUUUGUAUUACAUGUACAGGAUAGGUGGGAGACAGAGAACUAAUGCCGCCAGGUGUUAGGGAGUCGAUGUUGGGAUACCACUCUUGUAAUAUGAAGGUUCUAACCUGCACCCGUGAAUCCGGGUGGGGGACACUGUCAGGUGGACAGUUUGACUGGGGCGGUCGCCUCCUAAAAGGUAACGGAGGCGUUCAAAGGUUGGUUCAGCACGGACGGAAAUCGUGCAACGAGUGCAAACGCAUAAACCAGCCUAACUGCGAGACCGACAAGUCGAGCAGUAACGAAAGUUGGAGUUAGUGAUCCGGCGGUAUGAGAGUGGAAUUGCCGUCGCUCAACGGAUAAAAGCUACCCUGGGGAUAACAGGCUGAUCUCCCCCAAGAGUCCACAUCGACGGGGAGGUUUGGCACCUCGAUGUCGGCUCAUCGCAUCCUGGAGCUGGAGUCGGUUCCAAGGGUUGGGCUGUUCGCCCAUUAAAGCGGUACGCGAGCUGGGUUCAGAACGUCGCGAGACAGUUCGGUCCCUAUCUAUCACGGGCGUAGGAAAUUUGAGGAGAGCUGACCUUAGUACGAGAGGACCGGGUUGGACGUACCGCUGGUGCACCUGUUGUUCUGCCAAGGGCAUAGCAGGGUAGCUAAGUACGGACGGGAUAAACGCUGAAGGCAUCUAAGCGUGAAGCCCCCUUCGAGAUAAGAUUUCCCAUAGCGUAGGCUAGUAAGGACCCAUGAAGACUACAUGGUUGAUAGGCCGGAGGUGGAAGUGCAGUAAUGUAUGCAGCUGACCGGUACUAA
rnacentral:rRNA from 1 species